GACUCUAACCACUCGGAUAAGGAAGGCCCCAAAACUUUACAGCUUUAAUUAGUUUUGCGCUAUUAGAAUUGGUAAGUCGGGUUCAAACUGAUCAUAUAUGAUACCCAUAGCGAAGACUGUGCCAGUUGCAAAGUUGUAUCUUAUAGGGAAGUUCACAUUUGUUUGAAAACUACAUGAUUGCUUAAUAAAAUUUAUCAAAUAAUUUAAAAAUAGAUUACAGAA